AUGGAGCUAUUAAGUUUCUAUGUAUACGCUUAUCAAUUUAAAGUAGUUCAUGCCUAAAUCUGUGAAAAGGUUCCUUGAAUGUUUGUUACUAAAAGUUUGUCCGAGCAUAUAUUGACAAGUAAAAUAGUAUCACAUCAAAACUUGACAGGUAUGUACAUCUUAUAUUUUAGGGCACGUGCAGCGCACUACAACUCUAAACGCUUGCGUUCAUAAUAUCUUAGUUACUGCCCUGUGCAUAUUUUUACAACGAUUGUUUGUCUGCAGCAUAUCUCAAAACUAAAAGAGGAAUGCACUUGAAACUUGAUAUGUAAGAACAUCUGAUUUUAUUGAGGGAAUGAGAAGAUAACAAACUCCAAAAAUCUUGCUUCGAUAUAUUGAGUUAUUGUCUUUUGUUUGUUAUAAAGCGGGAGGCCGUUUUAUCAACAGAUUUUAUCUUAGCGGAUCUUAUCUUAAAUCCUUGACUUACGAUUUCAUUUACGAUCAGCUAAUACCCGCAGCUAAGAUUUUAGUUAAGGGUACGAUCUGGAAAAUCGCGAACCAGUCGAAAAACCUCACACGAUUUCCCGCGUUUAUGUCAAAAAAGCAAGAUGGCCAACAACGUAAACAGAGGCAAGUAGUUAAUGAUAGUUAUGAUUUACUAAUAGUAGUACUAAAUGUAGGGAUAUCAUGACUCAUGUCUUAAAUAUUAUAGCGUUUAUGUCUGUCAAUUUGUCUCGUAAUUGAUACUGAGUUUUUAUUAAAUUUAUAUCGUUAUUUUACACCAAAGAAUCGAAAUGUUUUAUGCAUUUAUUUUAUGUAUUUAUUUUCUGAAUUCUAGUUGCAAGUACUGUUAUAACGAAAUCAUAUUUUCCCGCGUUUGGAACUUUCAGCCUUUAAAAUGACAAAUCGUUAUUGUGUGUUCAUAUCUAAUGUUUUUGGCAGAAGAGUAUUCGAGUAUCAAUCAAUACAUUAUUUCUAUGCCCCACAUUUGAAGAAAACAAUUUAUUUUUAUGUUUGUUUUUAGGGUAAAUGUAUCUCUCUUUUCAAGGAACAUUCUAAUCUAACACAUUUCCGCUUCUUUCGCUAUAUAUUUGUUUUCGUACUUCUUCUACUUCGUACUUCUUCUUCUACUUCGUACUUCCUACAGUUAAUUGCUGACUAUUACAUGAAGGCCGAUAUAGGCAGAUAUGGACACUGUCGAGUCCGUUUCCUAGGAAGAACCAGUACUUGGUGUCUAUGGAGGAAAUAAUGAGAAUGCUCCUCGAGUAGGGAGCGAACCUACGAACUCCCGAUCGCUAGGCGGACACCUCAUCCACUACACCACCGCGAUAGUAUAUACGGAUGCCUACUGUAUAUUUAUUUUUGGCAUAGAAUUUACUUUAUUACCCAGUGUACAUAGCUUUAGAAUUAAUUUUCAAUUAUAAACAUAAACCUGAAAACUAUCACUCAAUUUCAGAGUGAACAGCAUUUGAUUGUGUAGCCCCAAGAUAGCCAAAUUUAUCAAGAAAUGGACGGACUUUAAGACGCACAACAACAACCAUGUGUGAAUGAUGAGAUCUCAUCCAUCACAUCAGUUGAACAAAAGUUGGAAAUCCGCGAAACAGCGCAUGUGAGGCCCAGUCAUUUGAGCCGAUAGUGUUCCACUUCAUUGUUCCCUAGCUGUAGAGUUGUUGGAGAAAACCCUGUAUUGUUAUGUUACAAAGAUAAUUAAAUAAAGGAGUAGAAUUUA